AUUUUAUACAUCCAUGAGAGAGGGCCGUUCACGUUUUUUCGGGAGUUUCGCGGCCGCUGUAGCUUCUUCUACACGCUUGGAAGGGGAGGUUAUCAAUUUGGUUGCAAUCUACAACCUCACAGCUAGAUGCCACUAAAUGCUAAUUUACACACUGGUCCUUUAAGUGUUUCAAUUAGCUAAGCCAAUGAGAAAACAAGCAUGAUAGCAAGACCUUGCAAUUUGAAGAAAAACCUCUCAAAAACAAAACUGCAAAUCUGCCGUGAAAAGGGCAUUUUACUCUCGUACAUGGGCUACAGAAUUGAAACAUUCAUAGUAAAAAAUAAGAAGAAACAUAUGAAGAAACAGACAGCUGCAACAGUAACUCUCAGUAGGAUGACAAAACCAUAGAUUUUGAGGACAAGUCAGAGGAUUAAAACAGCGAGGAGGUGGGAGUAAAGUUUCACAAUUCUGGAGCUGAACUUGAGGCUAGCUAACUGUCGUUAGCUCUGCUAGCCUCCCAGGAAUCACCUGGACCGCUCAUCCAGCUAGUUUAACCAUGGCACCUGUGUGAGAAGUCAUCUUCCAAGUUUGGACUAUGGUCUAAAGAAUGACCUGUACAUUUAGGCCUAUAUGUCGGCGGUGGAUGUUUCUGCCUAGACUAAGGACGGCAAAGAAUAGCUAACAUCUAUUUUAAGGUGUGAGGACUUGUUGGACAGAGACGCUGUUGUUGCAAAGCGAUUCACAGUGUGUUCAAGGACAGAGAUCUAAGAGCUUAAAUCAGUGGACAACUCUUCCCCUUGAAAAAGUGCACACUAUCAGGACUGCUCAAAGUUACUGAUACACAGUACGCCAAGCCAGAUGGUCAGCCGCACGGUCGAAGCAUGUACCACUCGGUUUCAACACCCCUCUAACAAACCCUCCUCCCAACUCCAGAUGGCAUGCCAUGCCUGGUUCUAGUGCCACAGGGGGACUGCGACGGUAUCAGUGUGACUCAAGUCCCUCGGGGUAUGGUCUGCGUGCAUGCGUGCGUGUUUUGGGUAUAUGCAUAUGUGAGCGCAUGUGCUUGUCCCUCAGGUGCUCUUGUUUGGUUGUAUGUUUUAGAGAGUCACAACAAUCAGAUACCUGUGUCUCUUGGGUUGCUGAUUUCUCCCCUUUGGCCAAAUUUGGCUGCUGUGGUUCAAUAUGGAGCUCCUUCACUAAUAAUCCUCCCCCUCUGAGCCUCACUAUUUAAGUGAGUGAUUUCAAAGGGGAAAAGAAAACCUGUGAAAAUGCAUCCUAAAUUCCAAAAACACCUCGCAGUUAAAGUAUCAUACAGUAUAUAGUAAGCAGAGGGGCAACUUUUGCCACAUGACUUAUGAGAUUUGUUUUCAUUGUUAUAGCUGUGGAACUACGGUAUUCUUUAAACAAUCAGCAUCUGUCAGCACAGGUACAGGAAAAUUCUACAUCUCGAGAAGCAUAACUAAACUAGUUAUCACAUUUAAUCCCAAUAUUUUGAUUUAAACAACCAGUCUCUCUACAGCUACAGCUGCUUUUUAAGUUUUCCUUUCACACGCAGUACAUUUCCAGGGCCUGAGAUCCUGAGGGGCACCAAAGUCCCAAGGUUCACUGCACUCACCCAGCCAGAACAACAACAACUUUUUCAUUUAUCAUUGGUACAUAAGCUGAUUGGUCAUAUCUCUCUAUACAAGCACACUAUUACCCAGUUGAUUCCUUCAUGCCAACAUUACAGCUCCCUCCAUCACCCCAACAUCACCCUUUUUAUGUGCUGCAGCUGUUAUCAGUACCGUUGAACUGUUGACUUUGCUGAGAUACAAGUUUAAUAUUUAUAGCUACAUGUCUGAAUUCUGAACACUAUAAUUCAAGUGUUAAAUAUACUGAGAGAUGACUUCUCUCAGUAGAAAAUUCUCUAUGAUCUCAGAUUCUUUGAAAUUUGACUGCCUAGCCAUUUGCAAUAGAUGGUCAGUUCUUAACCUUAUGUAUGUGUGUGUGUGUGUGUGUGUGUGUGUUUGUGUGGUUUGUGGCAAUUUGUCUAAGUGCAUAUUUGUUUGGGAAGAAGUACCAUCAACUGAAAAAUCAACUGUAGGUGCGUCAUGUGGCCCUGUAUUUUUUUUUUUCUUUGAGGCUCUGUGUCAAACUCUAAUGAUAAGGACCCUACAAUUUCUGGUGAUGUAGCUAUCAUGAAAAUAUUUCUAAAAACAAUCUGAUUUAUUAAAAUGAGCACAAAGUAAUUCUCAGAAAGUAAUAGUAGAGCACAGUUCAGCACAGAUUCUGGGGUAAAAUAUAAUUCGCUGUGGCUCAGUACAUUUUUGUCCCUUGUCAUCAAAGUGUUUAAUUUGGUGCUGUGUCAUGCACAUGAUGUUUAGCUUUACAUGAGAAAGAAGUGCACCAAAAAAAGCUGCAUUGCCUCAGUGUUUGUGUUUAUUGUUGAAAAGACCAGGGGCUGCUCUCGCCUGCUGCUGUGUGUAUACUUCUGCUUCACCCAUGUCCAAGGGCUUUGAAAAUCAGUGAAAGGGGAAACCAGAGAAAGGACUUAGCCUCUGAUCUGGGGAAUAUUU